CGAUAUAAGGAUUCAAAGUAAUACAAUGCUGUGCUUGCACAAAGCAUUGUAUUACUUUGAAGACUGAACGGACAUGAGGAAGCAGCACGAUAGUGCGGAUUCCUCAUGUCCGUAGGAUUGCGAAAGCGAAGCGGAGCAAUCCGUAUAUCG
rnacentral:sRNA from 2 species